rnacentral:tRNA from 1 species
UAGUAAAAUAGCACAUUACACUGCCUUGUCAGAGCAGAAUUGUAGGUUAAAGCCCUGCGAGUCCCG